GCCCGGGUGGCGGAAUGGGUAGACGCGGACGGUUCAGGUCCGUGUGUUCGAAAGAACGUGCUGGUUCGAGUCCAGUCCUGGGUA
rnacentral:tRNA from 1 species